UACGUAGGUGGCAAGCGUUGUCCGGAUUUACUGGGCGUAAAGAGCGCGCAGGCGGUCGUUCAAGUCGCGUGUGAAAGUCCCCGGCUCAACUGGGGAGGGUCACGCGAUACUGAUCGACUCGAAGGCAGGAGAGGGUAGUGGAAUUCCCGGUGUAGUGGUGAAAUGCGUAGAUAUCGGGAGGAACACCAGUGGCGAAGGCGACUACCUGGCCUGUUUCUUGACGCUGAGGCGCGAAAGCUAGGGGAGCAAACGGGG
rnacentral:rRNA from 1 species